rnacentral:lncRNA from 1 species
AGCAAAGCUUCCUUAGCCCAAGACUAAGGCAGAGCUCCCCAGCUGACCUGCAGAUAAUUGAGUGAACCAAGCCAAGAUCAGCAGAGCCACCUAGCUUAGCCCAGCCCAACCUCGAUCCACCAAAUUCCAGACAACUCACAGAUACGUAAGUUAUAAAAAUAAAUGGUCACCAUUUACAAGUCAUUAACUUUGGGGAGGCUCAUGAUGCAGUAUUUUUGUGGCAAUGGCAAAUACAUUAAGUUGUGUCACUUGUUUUCUCUUGUCAUCUGCCAGAUCUCUCUGUUUGAAAAGUUCUUUUCACAUUUUGUAAUUUAUAAGUAAUAUGUAGGAUGAUACUUCUAGACUGUGUAUAUUCAUUCACAUUUUAUUCAAUUAUUUCAGCAGCUAUUCAUGAUCCUUAUCUGAAUUAUUACAUUGAGAAUUGCAAACUGCUGAUUUUUCUAUUAUUCCUUCUGUAUUAAUCAGCUAAGUGUGCUUUUGUAAAGAGCAUUUCCUUGCCCACUUUUUAUUGUAGUACAAGUAAAAGCUCAUGGGUUCUCUUUUAUUCAAUAAGCUGUAAUCCGUUACUAUAAUCCAUUGUUAUUAAUCCAUUAUUAUUCUUUUUGAUGCUCAAAUUGUGUCAAGUUUGGCCAGUGGGAGCUCCUUCAAGUCAGCUUUUGGGUCCUUUCCACAUGUUCCCUUUAGUCUUUAAGCACUUUCUGCCUUUUGGCAAUGUGAGAUACCCUCUGUUGCGGGAUUUAAUUUGCUAGUCUUUUGUUCAGGACUUUUGUAUUGGUGUUCAUGAGAGAAGCUGAUCUGUAGUUUUCUUGUAAUGUCCUUGUCAUGUUUUUGUAUCAAAGAAUUGGCCUCACAAAAUGAAUUGGGUAGUGGUUCCUUCCUCCUCUAUUUUCAUAGAAGAACUUGUGUAGAAUUGGUAUUAUCUCCUCCUUACAUAUUUGGUAGAAUUCAUCAGGGAAGUCACCUAGGACUGGGGUGGCUUUUGUAGAAGGGCCUUGUCCUUCAAAUGCUUUCUCUUUGUAGUCUUCAUUUGAUAUUAAGGAUUCAGCCGCUGCUCCGUUUUUGCUUAUAUUUGCACAGUAAAUUUUGUCUGUCAUUUUCCUUUUAACCUUUCCCAGUCGCUUGGUCUAAUAAUGUCCAUUUUGGGCAGUAUAUGGUUGAAUUUUACUUUUUGCAGGUUAUAACUUCUUGUGUUCUCUGGGACUUUGGCUUCUCUGUCAUUGCCUGAGUUCUGUCUUGAAGUCUCAUCUAUGUUCUUCCCAGCCUUGUUAGUUCUUCUAAAUAUGCAUUCCCAGUUGGUGGUCUUUUCCUCUCUGUCCCUGACAGCCUCAAAUUACCAUUAGCUCCACCUGCACAUGGCCCCACUGUUACUAGCUUAUUCAAAAUUAAUCUCAGAGCCCAUAAUAGGGCCCAGCCCACAGGUAGGUGUUAAUAAAGAUUUAUUUAAUGAAUGGUGAUAACUAUGGCAUUAAUUAUGAUCAAGUUUAUUGGUUAAAAAAAAUAGAAAACCCAAAUAUCAGUGGCUUAAAAGGAUGACUUAUUCCUUCCUUAUAUGAGUCUUUAGGCCUCUAGGCAUUUUGUCCAGAGGUUGGUUCUAUAAAUCCUCAGAGACAUAGGCUCCUUCUAAAUUAUUAUUCUGCCAUCCCUAGAGUAUACAUACUUCUCAUCCUCAUAGUCUAAGAUGGCCCACAUCUGAGGCCACAGGAUGGAAGAAAGAAUGAAGAACCAGCAGAGGUCAUGUUCCAGGAGUCUGUUAGGGAAGGUUCCUGGAAUCUGUCACAUACACAGCACUUCGACUUAGGUAUCAUUAGCCAGAAUUUAGUCACAUGGCCACACUUUCUACGAGAGAAGCUGGAAUGUGUUGUCUUAGUCUGGAUAGCAAUGUGCCCAGCUUAAAUUGUAUUACUAGAGAAGAGGGGGAAAUGAUUUCCUGGGGAAUCCUUAGCAACUGGAGAAGACUAAAGACCUGAAGAGGUGUAGCAUAUUUGUGAAAACAACAUGAAGUGUGAUGGUGCGGGAUCAUAGCAUGAACGAGACAACAUGGUAGAUUCACUAAAAGGAUAGGGAGGGGCUAGACUUAGACAAUAAGGCUUAGACUUUGGAUAUUAUCCUGUGGACCUUUUUUAUUAGUCAAGGUCUUGAGGGAAAUAAAUGGCACUCUUGAAAGGGGUGAAAUGUGUUUAACGAAGGGACUAUUUGAAGAGUGGGCAGGAUUGAGAAAAAUGAACAAGGGAUGUGAAGUGCUCCAGGGCCAGCAAAAGCAGGAACUGCCAGGACUGCCAGGGCACAUGGACAAGCGGUUACUGGAACCCAACAGGUGUGGUUGUAGGAAAUGGGUCUCAGAUAAGAGCUGUGCCUUUGGGAAAGGAACAUUGUUACUGCAACAUAUACCCUGAAAGCAGAAAUGGUGACAUAACUUGCAGGGCCCAGUGCAAAAUGAAAACGAAGGCCCCUUGCUCAAAAAUUAGUCCGAGUUCCAAGAUGGCAACAGUAGGCGGUUAAACCAAGUGUGGAGCCUUUCUGAGCGUGGGGCCCUGUGCAACUGUACAGGCUGAGUGACCAUGAAGCUGGCUUGCCUGCCAGGGAAGAUGCUGGAGGAAAAACACCCUAAACGACUCUGUCUUCCAGCCCUCUGACUCUUGCCAAUGGCUCCCUUUGCCCAUACCCAAGUAGUAGUCAAAAUCGAGGAGCCUGAUUGAAGCCCUCCAUGAUGGUCAGGUGCCGGAGGGGAGUGAACAGUGCAUCUGGAGGAGCUGGGGAGAUCUAGCUCCACUAUGGAGGGCCAUUAGAAAUUUUUAAGCAGAAUGGCAUGUCCAAUUUAUUUUUAGAAAGAGCUUUUUGGCAGCAGUGUGGAGGAUGGACUGCAGAGCCUGGAGGCAGAAAGACCAAUUAGGAGGC